rnacentral:miRNA from 7 species
AGUCUAUGGGACCAGACAACAUUCAUCCCAGGGUUCUGAAGGAGCUGGCUGAGGUGGUUGCCAAGCCAGCCUCCAUCAUAUUUGAAAAGUCGUGG